GGGAAGCAAGCGUGUCUUACCAUGGCAGAGCAGGAGAGAGAAAGAGUGAAGGGGAAGUGCCACACACUUUCAAACAACCAGAUCGCAUGAGAAUUCACUCACAGUCAAGAACAGCAAUGGGGAAGUCCAUGCCCAUGAUUCAAUCACCUCUCACCAGACCCCUCCCCUGACAUGUGGGGAUUAAAAUUCAAGAUGAGAUUUGGGUGGGGAUGCAGAGCCAAACCAUAUCACAUGGUCAACACAAGCUUCUUGGUGAUGCCCCAAACUUCAGAACCAGUUAAAGGUUUACCAUCAGCCAGAAGAGCUGUGGGAAUGAGCCUCCCAGAAAGAAGAGAUGGAAGGUGUUUGGCAUCUGCAGUGAUGAUGAUGAUGAUGAUCAUGAUCAUGAUCAUGAUGCUGGCUAAAUGCCGACUCUGAGCCCUGCAUGAUGGUAAGCAGUGUCUAUGGAUUGGCUCUUUAAUCCUCAUAACAAUGUCUAUCUAAUGUCUAUCUAGAGGUAGAUAUUAAGAUAAUGCCUAUUUUUCAAAUGAAGAAACUGAGCCUCCAAGAGAUUAAGUAACUGGCUCAAGGUCACACAGUUGGUAAAUUGAAACAUGAGUGCUUACAUGGAUGUUUUCCAGGGAUUGAGGCCGCAUUAACUGGUGGGGAGAGAAAUGAAGAGCCCAGCACAAGGGGUGGACUGAUGGGAGCAUGUUUGGGCUAGUGGGAAUAAUAAUAAAAAAUAAUAGUCAGCACUUAUUGAAUGCUUACUAAGUGGCUGGCAUUGUUCUAAGCACUUUUACAUGCAUUAACUCGAGGUGAAAUAAAACCCAAAUACACAGAACUGGCAAAUGAGGGUCCAUGCUUGAGGGUUUGGAAAGACUUGGAAAUACCCUUUGGGCACAUCAAGCAGGCAAAAAAAAAAAAAAAAAAAAAAAAAAAUCAGCUGCAUUUUGGAAGCUUCCUCUGAUCAAAGAUACCCAUUCAUCCAACAUUUAUUUAUGAAAUGCCUGUUGUUUCCCAGGCAUUGUUCUAGGCACUGAGAACAGGACAGAUUCCAGGAGAAGGAGAAGUCCAGGAACACAAAAAGAUAGAAAGAAAUACUCAGAAGUGCCAUAUUUUUUACCUUUUCAUUGAUACUACCAGAAAAGGGAAAAAAUAAAUACUGUUUGAUUUUGCCACCAGGCACCACAAAACUGCGCCCCUGCCUGAUUUCAUUUCAGCAAGCUUUACUGUGAAGUGUUUAUGUGCCAGGUACCAUGUGUAGAAGCGCUGGCCCAGAGAUGAAGAUGAAGUUUCUAUCCUUAAGGCAUGCAAUGUGGGAGAUGAACAGAGACAGGCAAGAGAGCCACAGAAGAGAAAGUGAUGUGAAGACAGAAGCAGGGAUUGGAGUGAUCCAUCUACAAGCCAAGAAAUACCAAUGGUUGCUGCCAGCCACCAGGAUCUAGGAGAGUGGCAUGGAACAGAUUUUCCCUUAGAGCUUCCAGAAAGAACUAACCCUGUCAACACUGUGAUUCUGGACAGUGAGAGAGAAAUUUCUAUUGUUUUAAGCCAUCAAGUUUGUGGUAAUUUGUUAUGGCAACCGUAGGAAACAUCACCCAGUAAAUCCAAAUUAAAUAUUAUCCCAAUUUUUGCUUGAUACCA